UUGAAUUUUUUUCAGGUGAUGUGGAGAUGGGCUAAACAAUAAGAAUUGAUACAUGCUCUAGUGGGGAUGCUGACAGAGCUUUAGAUUGCCUGUGGCAGAAGAAGAAGGCUGAGAUUAAGCUGCAAUAUAUUUUGCUUUCAAGGUCUAUUUUUGUUAGAGAUAUUUGAGUAUUAAAAUCAACAUAAAGUUGAAACAUUUGUUUGCAGAGAGGAUCAGCCGAGAAAGAACUUUUGCAACAAAGUGAAAGAACUCCGAAUGCCCUUCACCCUCCAAGGCUUUGAUCUCUCAGGUAUCUUCUCCAUAGCUGAUUAUGAUUAUUUCUUUUGCCAAAAACUGAAUCUGGUCCCUUUUCCUUUUUCAGGAACCAUCUUAUUGAAGAGCCUCUACAGGGUCUAUCGUAGGGGGUGGAGAAGGACUGUCAUGUUCAAGGAAAACUUUGCUAAAGAAGAGAUCUAAAGUAGCCAAGGGAGGAAAUGUGUUGAAAGCAAUCAGCAGGAAGUACUUAAGACUCCAAUCAUGUUGUUUUACUGGCUUGGGUUUGACAGUUUUGGAACAUGGCAGUGGUGUCUGAUAAAAGAUGUUGGCAAAGAGUCUGCUAAACCAUUGGAUGACAGUUUCAAACUACUUAUAGUUGUAGAUUUGAAUACAACAAUUGAGAUAACUUUCAAGCAAGUAUCACUUUAGGGUGAAUCAGCAAUUAAUGUAGCUCUCAACAAGGAAAACAAUGAAGAAUCUACAAACAAGAGGUGAAAGACAUAAGAUCAAUUAGGAAUUGUAUCUUGAUGUUGUUUAGUUCUGGAAAUUGUAUUAGAGUGAGUGAUUCCUAAUGACACUACUAUUGCACUUUCACCUAAUAUUGAAUCUUUGUUUUGUUU